rnacentral:rRNA from 1 species
UCAAUCUCGUGCGGCUAGAAGCCGCCUGUCCCUCUAAGAAGAUUGCUACGCAGCUAGCGUAAAGAUAACUGCGCCUAUUUAAUAGGCUAGAGUCUCGUUCGUUAU